UUUGGUUGUUUUUCUUUCGGAUUUUCGGCUAUAUAAGGUCGAUUUAAAUUUGUAAAAGGAAAAAAAGGGGGAGAGAAAAAAUACAAAGAAGGGACUGAUACGAAAUAGAUACAGAAAUUUUUCGAAUAUAUAAGGUGUUUUUUCCAUUUUUCAUCUUUCUUAGAUUCGUUUUGUUAUUUUUUUUUCUUUUAGCUUUUUUAUUUUAUUUUUCAUUUUUAUUGUAUUUUAUUUUUUAUUUCUCCCAUUGUUGAUCGCGCAUUCAUGUUGGUCCCUUUUUAUUUAUUGCGAAUCUGCC
rnacentral:lncRNA from 1 species